GCUAAACGCGAAGAACCUUACCAAGGCUUGACAUGCAUCUCUAAGCGCGUGAAAGCGCGUGACUCUUCGGAGGAUUUGCACAGGUGCUGCAUGGCCGUCGUCAGCUCGUGUCGUGAGAUGUUGGGUUAAGUCCCGCAACGAGCGCAACCCCUGUGAACAGUUGCCAGCGAGUGAAGUCGGGGACUCUGUUCAGACUGCCCAGAUCAACUGGGAGGAAGGUGGGGACGACGUCAGGUCAGUAUGGCCCUUACGCCUUGAGCUGCACACGUACUACAAUGUCCAGCACAAUGAGAACCGAGACCGCGAGGUGGAGGGAAUCUGCAAAACUGGGCUCAGUUCGGAUUGGAGGCUGCAACUCGCCUCCAUGAAGCCGGAAUCGCUAGUAAUGGCGCAUCAGCUACGGCGCCGUGAAUACGUUCCCGGGUCUUGUACACACCG
rnacentral:rRNA from 1 species